CCUACGGGCGGCAGCAGUGAGGAAUAUUGGUCAAUGGCCGUAAGGCUGAACCAGCCAAGUCGCGUGAAGGAAGAAGGAUCUAUGGUUUGUAAACUUCUUUUAUAGGGGAAUAAAGGUAUCCACGUGUGGAUAUUUGCAUGUACCCUAUGAAUAAGCAUCGGCUAACUCCGUGCCAGCAGCCGCGGUAAUACGGAGAAUGCGAGCGUUAUCCGGAUUUGUUGGGUUUAAAGGGAUCGUAGGUUGUUUGUUAAGUCAGCGGUGAAAGUUUGUGGCUCAACCAUAAAAUUGCCGUUGAAACUGGAAGUCUUGAGUGUGUUUGAGGGAGGCGGAAUGCGUGGUGUAGCGGUGAAAUGCAUAGAUAUCACGCAGAACUCCGAUUGCGAAGGCAGCUUACUAAGCCAUGACUGACACUGAAGCACGAAAGCGUGGGUAUCAAACAGGAUUAGAUACCCGGGUAGUC
rnacentral:rRNA from 1 species